AUUGAACGCUGGCGGCAGGCCUAACACAUGCAAGUCGGACGGUAGCACAGAGAGCUUGCUCUCGGGUGACGAGUGGCGGACGGGUGAGUAAUGUCUGGGGAUCUGCCCGAUAGAGGGGGAUGACCACUGGAAACGGUGGCUAAUACCGCAUAACGUCGCAAGACCAAAGAGGGGGACCUUCGAGCCUCUCACUAUCGGAUGAACCCAGAUGGGAUUAGCUAGUAGGCGGGGUAACGGCCCACCUAGGCGACGAUCCCUAGCUGGGCUGAGAGGAUGACCGGCCACACUGGAACUGAGACACGGUCCAGACUCCUACGGGAGGCAGCAGUGGGGAAUAUUGCACAAUGGGCGCAAGCCUGAUGCAGCCAUGCCGCGUGUAUGAAGAAGGCCUUCGGGUUGUAAAGUACUUUCAGCGGGGAGGAAGGCGAUGUGGUUAAUAACCGCAUUGAUUGACGUUACCCGCAGAAGAAGCACCGGCUAACUCCGUGCCAGCCGCCGCGGUAA
rnacentral:rRNA from 1 species